rnacentral:lncRNA from 1 species
CCCACCCGAGCCUACCUACCAGAAGCCUUUGCUCAAUGGGAGUGAAGUGGGCGGGUAGCUCUGGUGGAUCUAAGUGGCCACUGAGCUGCAGAAAAGCAUCCGUCUGCUUUUACCCUAGUCCUGACAGAGCUCAGAACCUCCCAUGGCAGCUCCAGGGAUGGUUCUUAGGGUUGUGGUUGGGCAAACACAUGUGGUUCCCACUAAGCCCAAGGAGAGACAUAAAGGAGAGACCAAGGAGAGGCUUCUGUGGAGAAGGCAGGGGCAAAAGCUGGCUGUAAGGUCUGGCCAGCUGCACCACACUGCCCACCAGCACCUCAUCUUCUCCUUUACGGAAGAAGUGACUGGGAGUCCGGGAUCCUAGGUCUCAUUUCUGAUUUUUUUUUUUUUUUUUUGAGAUAAGGUCUCACUGUGUCUUGUGGGUGGGAGUGCAGUGGUGUGAUCAUGACUCACCGCAGCCUGAGCUCAAACUCUUGAGCUCAAUCCUCCCAUCUCAGUCUCCCAAGUAGCUGAGACUACAAACAUGUGCCAUCACACCCCGCUAAUUUUUUUUUUUUUAGACAGCCUGGGCUACAGAGCUAGACUCCGCCUAAAAAAAAAUAAAUAAAUAAAAUAAAAUAAAAUAAAAUAAAAGGCCAACUCUUCUUCUCUACAAGGCACCAAUGAAGACUGGAUUUCAGACCCCUCAUCUGGGAAACUAAGCAGUCCACAUACUUCACAACUGUACACGGCAACCGUGCUCACCCCUCAUAACCGCUAGCCUUCACGUGUCAUUCUACCUCCCCGAUACCUUCUCCAAUCUGUCCUUCCCUCUUUGCCCCCGCUGCCACAUUCUUAGUUUCAACCCUUAUGGUUUCUUUCCUGUACUGAUGCAGCAGUUUCCGACACAUCAGUGACUCAGGUCUUGCCUGCAUCUAGAGCAAACACAUCGUGUUCUUACUUGCCCCUGUGCCUUUGUAGCUGCUGUGGCCUUGCUUGGCCUGAACAGCCACCCUCAGCUUCCUGGUCAACUCUAGCUCAUGCUGUAGCACUCAGCUCCAACGUCACCUCACCUGAAAAUUGGCCCUGACUCGCCUCUCAGACAUGACUAUAGUCUGCCAGGCUCUGGACUCCCAUAGCUCCUGACCAUACCUGGAUGAUGGCACUGAUUGCCACAGGGAUUGUUUACUGCCACCCCAACCAGCCUGUGAACUCUAGAUGUGAGAGCUAGGCUGCUUUCAUUGCUUGGUAACCAAAUGGUUAUAAAGAACAGGAAUUGGGAGAGGAGUAAAUUACAAUUAUAACUCCCCACUUAAUGCUAUUGGGAAUCUUUCCCUAGCUUUGGUUUCCCCAUUUUAAAAUGUGGAUAAUAGGCCAGGUGCAGUGGCCCGUGACUGUAAUCCCAGAACUUUGGGAGGCGAAGGCAGGAGGAUCAUGUGAGGCCAGGAGUUAGACACCAGACUGGAUAACAUAGUGAGACCCUGUCUCUAAUUAAAAAAAGAAAAAAAGAAAAAAUAAUAAUAGGCCAGGCGCGGUGGCUCACCCCUGUAAUCCUAGCACUUUG